CUUGCUCCCUUAGGUUAGCGGCGGACGGGUGAGUAACACGUGGGUAACCUGCCUGUAAGACUGGGAUAACUCCGGGAAACCGGGGCUAAUACCGGAUGCUUGAUUGAACCGCAUGGUUCAAUUAUAAAAGGUGGCUUUUAGCUACCACUUACAGAUGGACCCGCGGCGCAUUAGCUAGUUGGUGAGGUAACGGCUCACCAAGGCGACGAUGCGUAGCCGACCUGAGAGGGUGAUCGGCCACACUGGGACUGAGACACGGCCCAGACUCCUACGGGAGGCAGCAGUAGGGAAUCUUCCGCAAUGGACGAAAGUCUGACGGAGCAACGCCGCGUGAGUGAUGAAGGUUUUCGGAUCGUAAAACUCUGUUGUUAGGGAAGAACAAGUACCGUUCGAACAGGGCGGUACCUUGACGGUACCUAACCAGAAAGCCACGGCUAACUACGUGCCAGCAGCCGCGGUAAUACGUAGGUGGCAAGCGUUGUCCGGAAUUAUUGGGCGUAAAGCGCGCGCAGGCGGUUUCUUAAGUCUGAUGUGAAAGCCCCCGGCUCAACCGGGGAGGGUCAUUGGAAACUGGGGAACUUGAGUGCAGAAGAGGAGAGUGGAAUUCCACGUGUAGCGGUGAAAUGCG
rnacentral:rRNA from 1 species